UUUUAAGCGGAAGGAAGUGCUCUGUCGCCCGGUGAAUGCAUUCUGGGUACGAUGUCGAAACGAUUAGUCAUCACCGGGUUUGUAUUCAUCCGGGUUCCAGAAGAACCAAGCUACGCAUGCGC
rnacentral:precursor_RNA from 10 species